rnacentral:lncRNA from 1 species
ACAGCAAAUAUAGUUCCUAUUUUAAUACAUCCAGGCCUCAGGCAGGAAAUGGAAGUCAAAUUAUUCUCAGCAAAAUAAUGAUGAUGGUUGUAGUGGUAGGUGCAUAUAAUCCUAAAGAAAAAUCCAAAACUGUAACAUGAGAAUAGAGAGCAAAAUAAUUUAAUGCCUGGGAAGUUAUAGCUAACUUAAUUUAUUUACUGACAACAUUUUAGUUGCUUUGCCACUCUCAUUUCAUCUAGUAAAUCAGUGGCAUUUCUCGUUUCUGGAGAAGGAAAAAGGUAAAGGUCAGAUAUAGCCUUGGAUUAAGAACUAAAGAAAGAUGGCAGAAGAAGAAGUCCUGGGUCCCCCUCCUCAUAAACACACUGAUUCAGCAAAAAUUCAUGAAUAAAUUAUUUUGUGAGAAAGCCAGAAAAUAACUGACAGGCUUCUGUACAUGAGGUGAGUGGGAAACCAGACUCACCAAUACUAAAAGGGAGAUUCAGAACAUCUUCUUGCCAGAACCCAAAACCCCAGCAAUGGCACCAUACAAUCAAGAGGAGAAUCUCUAGCUCUCAACUUCUCCUAGGGGUGAAAGUGACUAGUUUAUAUGCACAGAGCUUCAACUUUUCUGAGGAGGGU